UACGUAGGGGGCAAGCGUUGUCCGGAUUUACUGGGCGUAAAGAGCGCGCAGGCGGUCGAUCAAGUCGGGUGUGAAAGCCCCCGGCUCAACUGGGGAGGGUCAUUCGAUACUGAUCGACUCGAAGGCAGGAGAGGGUAGUGGAAUUCCCGGUGUAGUGGUGAAAUGCGUAGAUAUCGGGAGGAACACCAGUGGCGAAGGCGACUACCUGGCCUGUUCUUGACGCUGAGGCGCGAAAGCUAGGGGAGCAAACGGG
rnacentral:rRNA from 1 species